GACUUAGCUGCUCUGUGGCAUGUGGAAUCUUCCUGGCUCAGGGCUCGAACCCGUGUCCCCUCAAUUGGCAGGCGAAUUCUUAACCACUGUGCAACCAGGGAAACCCUCACAUCUGUUUCUGUGUUCAAUCUGUUGUGUUGAUUCAAGUAUAAGAAGAAAACUCAGAUUCACACAGGUAGCCUGGAGUAGAGAAAGGAGCUCUCCCGUUAACAUGCUGUGUGACCCCAGGCAAGAUUCAACCGGGGCUUCCCUGAUGGCUCAGUGGUUAGGAAUCCGCCUGCC